rnacentral:misc_RNA from 1 species
GAUGAAGAACGCAGCGAAAUGUGAUAAGUAAUGUGAAUUGCAGAAUUCAGUGAAUCAUCGAAUCUUUGAACGCACAUUGCGCCCGCCAGUAUUCUGGCGGGCAUGCCUGUUCGAGCGUCAUUUCAACCAUCAAGCCCCCGGCUUGUGUUGGGGACCUGCGGCUGCCGCAGGCCCUGAAAACCAGUGGCGGGCUCGCUAGUCACUCCGAGCGUAGUAAUACAUCUCGCUCAGGGCGUGCUGCGGGUUCCGGCCGUUAAAAAGCCUUAUUUACCCAAGGUUGACCUCGGAUCAGGUAGGAAGACCCGCUGAACUUAAGCAUAUCAAUAAGCGGAGGA